rnacentral:rRNA from 1 species
GAUGAACGCUGGCGGCGUGCCUAAUACAUGCAAGUCGAGCGAACGGACGAGAAGCUUGCUUCUCUGAUGUUAGCGGCGGACGGGUGAGUAACACGUGGAUAACCUACCUAUAAGACUGGGAUAACUUCGGGAAACCGGAGCUAAUACCGGAUAAUAUUUUGAACCGCAUGGUUCAAAAGUGAAAGACGGUCUUGCUGUCACUUAUAGAUGGAUCCGCGCUGCAUUAGCUAGUUGGUAAGGUAACGGCUUACCAAGGCAACGAUGCAUAGCCGGCCUGAGAGGGUGAUCGGCCACACUGGAACUGAGACACGGUCCAGACUCCUACGGGAGGCAGCAGUAGGGAAUCUUCCGCAAUGGGCGAAAGCCUGACGGAGCAACGCCGCGUGAGUGAUGAAGGUCUUCGGAUCGUAAAACUCUGUUAUUAGGGAAGAACAUAUGUGUAAGUAACUGUGCACAUCUUGACGGUACCUAAUCAGAAAGCCACGGCUAACUACGUGCCAGCAGCCGCGGUAAUACGUAGGUGGCAAGCGUUAUCCGGAAUUAUUGGGCGUAAAGCGCGCGUAGGCGGUUUUUUAAGUCUGAUGUGAAAGCCCACGGCUCAACCGUGGAGGGUCAUUGGAAACUGGAAAACUUGAGUGCAGAAGAGGAAAGUGGAAUUCCAUGUGUAGCGGUGAAAUGCGCAGAGAUAUGGAGGAACACCAGUGGCGAAGGCGACUUUCUGGUCUGUAACUGACGCUGAUGUGCGAAAGCGUGGGGAUCAAACAGGAUUAGAUACCCUGGUAGUCCACGCCGUAAACGAUGAGUGCUAAGUGUUAGGGGGUUUCCGCCCCUUAGUGCUGCAGCUAACGCAUUAAGCACUCCGCCUGGGGAGUACGACCGCAAGGUUGAAACUCAAAGGAAUUGACGGGGACCCGCACAAGCGGUGGAGCAUGCGGUUUAAUUCGAAGCAACGCGAAGAACCUUACCAAAUCUUGACAUCCUUUGACAACUCUAGAGAUAGAGCUUUCCCCUUCGGGGGACAAAGUGACAGGUGGUGCAUGGUUGUCGUCAGCUCGUGUCGUGAGAUGUUGGGUUAAGUCCCGCAACGAGCGCAACCCUUAAGCUUAGUUGCCAUCAUUAAGUUGGGCACUCUAAGUUGACUGCCGGUGACAAACCGGAGGAAGGUGGGGAUGACGUCAAAUCAUCAUGCCCCUUAUGAUUUGGGCUACACGCGUGCUACAAUGGACAAUACAAAGGGCAGCGAAACCGCGAGGUCAAGCAAAUCCCAUAAAGUUGUUCUCAGUUCGGAUUGUAGUCUGCAACUCGACUACAUGAAGCUGGAAUCGCUAGUAAUCGUAGAUCAGCAUGCUACGGUGAAUACGUUCCCGGGUCU